rnacentral:rRNA from 1 species
UGAAUUGACGGGGCCCGCACAAGCGGUGGAGCAUGUGGUUUAAUUCGACGCAACGCGAAGAACCUUACCUGGGUUUGACAUCCCGAUCGUACUCUAUGGAAACAUAGGGGUCAGUUCGGCUGGAUCGGUGACAGGUGCUGCAUGGCUGUCGCCAGCUCGUGUCGUGAGAUGUUGGGUUAAGUCCCGCAACGAGCGCAACCCUUGUCCUUAGUUGCCACCAUUCAGUUGGGCACUCUAAGGAGACUGCCGGUGUUAAACCGGAGGAAGGUGGGGAUGACGUCAAGUCCUCAUGGCCCUUAUAUCCAGGGCUACACACGUGCUACAAUGGCCGGUACAAAGGGUCGCAAUACCGCGAGGUGGAGCUAAUCCCAAAAAGCCGGCCUCAGUUCGGAUUGGAGUCUGCAACUCGACUCCAUGAAGUCGGAAUCGCUAGUAAUCGCGUAUCAGCGUGACGCGGUGAAUACGUUCCCGGGCCUU